AUUCCGUAAAAAAUCUUUAAAUGAUUUUCACAAAUUAGUUCUGCUUGUGUUUUAUAAAUUAAGCCCGGUUACAUUUAUUUUGGAAAAUGCAAUAAAAGUUGCAAACUAUAUUUUCAUUUCUUGAUCGCUAUGCUUCUUUUGUAUCAAUUUUAGAAGUCUGUAACCUUCGGCCUGGAGAUUUCUUGAGCCAUAAUAGCAUUAUGUUCUAGAACUAUUAAAAGAAGGUUCAUGAUUAAAAAGAACUUUCUCGAUGAAUCUAGAACCUGUUGAUCAGACUUGAUCUUUAAUCGCAUGACUGAACGAGUCUGGACGCGUGCAUUUAAUGAGAUGUAGUCGAGCUUCUUAAAACUGUAAAUAGUUGCAUAUCACAUUCUAAUAUCAGAAGUUUUAACGUUGUAGAUUUGUUUGUUUUCAGUCAUGUAUCGCUUUGCUUUUGUUUGUCCCGUUUCUAUUC